AUUGAACGCUGGCGGCAUGCCUUACACAUGCAAGUCGAACGGUAACAGGUCUUCGGAUGCUGACGAGUGGCGAACGGGUGAGUAAUACAUCGGAACGUGCCCGAGAGUGGGGGAUAACGAGGCGAAAGCUUUGCUAAUACCGCAUACGAUCUCAGGAUGAAAGCGGGGGACCGCAAGGCCUUGCGCUCACGGAGCGGCCGAUGGCAGAUUAGGUAGUUGGUGGGAUAAAAGCUUACCAAGCCGACGAUCUGUAGCUGGUCUGAGAGGACGACCAGCCACACUGGGACUGAGACACGGCCCAGACUCCUACGGGAGGCAGCAGUGGGGAAUUUUGGACAAUGGGCGCAAGCCUGAUCCAGCCAUGCCGCGUGCAGGAUGAAGGCCUUCGGGUUGUAAACUGCUUUUGUACGGAACGAAAAGGCUCUGGUUAAUACCUGGGGUCCAUGACGGUACCGUAAGAAUAAGCACCGGCUAACUACGUGCCAGCAGCCGCGGUAAUAC
rnacentral:rRNA from 1 species